rnacentral:rRNA from 1 species
GGGAUUAUUCAGUCGGGAGGUCGCGGACGACGGGCGCGGAACGACCGGAACGGUUCCCCGGACGGGGCCGUCCGCGCCCGGCGCCUCCGUGCCACCCGACGCAUUUGUUUCCCGUCCUAAGGACGCCGCAACCGGUCGGAGAACGGCCUCAAGGGCGGACGAGGCAGGUGGCCGGUGACGUUCCCCCGGGUUCGUCUGCCGGUUGUUAGCCGGUUUCCGUCGCACGGCCCGUGAUCCGACCGUGGUGUCGCGAGGCCCCUCGCGGGCCUCUUCGCCUCCUCCUCCGCUGGAAGCCGGGAAUUGGCGGCACGGUCCCUCCCCCCUGCGGGCGCACUGACUGACUCAGUGGCCCAGCCGUCGGGAGGUCCGGCUGGCGGCCUCUUGCCCGUUGGAGUGCUGGCGGUUGGCGGCGAGUAGAUCGGUCACCCACCUGACCCGUCUUGAAACACGGACCAAGGAGUCUAACAUGUGUGCGAGUCAAUGGGUCUCGAGUAAGCCCAGAGGCGCAAUGAAAGCAAAGGCCGGACUCGACUCCGGCUGCGUUGGGAUCCUCCCCCCUCCGUCGGGGGAGGCGCACCAACGACCCGUCCCAUCCGAUUCAUCGGCGGGGCGGAGUCUGAGCAUACACGUUGGGACCCGAAAGAUGGUGAACUAUGCCCGGGCAGGACGAAGCCAGAGG